ACAAUUCAGUUAGUUUGACAAUUCCAGUGCUAACUUCAGUCUUAAAGCCAGUAUCUGCCAUAUAUCGCCAGCAGUGUCGAAGAAACUUUAAAAGACAGCGUGAUUAAAACAUUCGGGCAAUACAGAAGACACAAAACUUCACGCGUCCUGAUCUGUCCGAUUUUCUGCAUCUUGAAUAUCUUGAACGGCCCACAAUGCCCUCAACCAAGGCGCUCAAGGCCAUCUUGUACGAUCUUGUAUGUAUUUCGUCACCCGCAAAACAUGAUGGCGAAAGAGGUUCAAUGAGUGAAUGAGUGUGGUAGGAAUAAAAUCGUGUGACAUUUUAUAUUUAUAAGUUAGUUUGGCAUUAUAUAUGUGCUGAAAUAUGAUUGAAAUGAGGAGCUUUAGAAAUAAGGAGAACAAUGGUGGUGGCCAAAAAAAGGGAGGCAGAGGAAAAAGAAUUGAAGAAAGAGGAAGUGAAACCAACAGAGAAGAAAUUGGAGGGGAAGACUAUCGCCGGCGCCGUGAUCGCAACAAUCAGGCAGUGAAGCGUAGUCGUGUGAAGAGCAAGCUCCGCACCCAGCAGACAUUGGAGAGGGUAAAUCAACUUAAAACAGAAAAUGAGAUGCUGAAGCAGAAGAUUUGUAUGCUGACAAAGGAACUUGGGUUCCUGAAGGAUCUCUUUUUAGCUCAUGCUGGAUCUGCUCAUGGUGUGAAUUUAGAAAAUGUUGACCUGGAAUCUUUGCUUCAAGAAGAGCUAAAGACAGAGUCAGACCGCAUUAUAUCACUGCAAGAAGGAGAAAGAUUGCAUCUGGGAAGAGAAGAUGGCAAACCUGAAUUCAAAUAGUGUGGCUGACAAGUGGGUGCUGAGUCAGUUGACCAAUGAAUACCAGUUGAAGCAUGUGCCGAGUUGCAGAGCUUUCUUGACAUGUUACCAUGCUGAGGGUGAAGAGUUUCUUGAACACAUUGUCAUGGGGUGCUGCACCCACUAUUUCAAAAGAUAUGGCAAGGAGAGAAAGUUCCAAAGGAAUGGAAAGAAGCUUUUCCAGUGAAUUUUACUUUUGAAAAGCAAGAGACACUACAAACAAGAUGCUUUGAAGAUUAUACAACUGAAUCUGAUUUAGAGCAAAUAUGUGUGACAUUAAUUUUUGCGACCUUCCUUUCAUUGCUGUAUCUUCUUUUUAAGUGGAAGAGCAGGCAGGAUGUGUGCAUUUGUAUCCACUGCAAAUUGAAAUGAAGAGGAACUGCUUUACCUUUUCUGGGACUGAUGUUAUUUGUUUUUUUGCUCAAAGAUUUUAGACAAUUUCAGAUCUGAGUGAUAAUGUUUAGACACCAUAUGUUUCAAAAUGUUCUUGUACCAUGCUAUUAUAAAGUGCUUAUGUUUUAGUCUUUAUGUCCUUCAGUAGUGCAUAAACAUGUCUCCAAGCUAUUUUUAUUUUCAAAACAAAUAAAACUAAGUCUUUAUUACAGGUACAUCUUUUAUUGAGUGAUUUUAAUUAUUUCUUUUCUAUCAGGCAAGCAGAGAAAUGUUGCUCUGAUACAUUUAUAGGGUGUCAAAUUGGAGGCCAUCAAGAAAUAAGAGAUCAUGAGAAAACUUGCUGUUUACUGAUGUACAAAUUGUGGUCAAGAUUCUUUCCAAGUUCACAGCAUUCUUUAAUAUAGUGAGAUUUCUUUCAAGUGCGUACUCAGUUGGUAUAGUUCGCUUGCGGACUAAAGCCAUGGUGUUUUGUUUUGCAUACUCUGGCAGCAAAUUUGAAUGCUCACCCUGUGAUGUUGGACUGACCCAUAAUAAAUAACUUCACUUCAUGGAAGUGCUCUCUAGAAAACUGUAGAAUUCAGAUUGAGCCCCUCUUGUAAUUGGCAGACAUCAGUAAUGUAUUUAACCUCCUGCUAAGCGUUUUGAACAGUGUGAUAGGUGUUCUGUAAGAAUUAACAUUUCAGCAUGAUGACACUCCCAAAUAAAUGAGAAAGACAUGCAUGCUUUCUUGAAUCAGACAUUUCCUGAUCAGUGGAAUGAAAGAGGACUACCCAGAUCACUGGGGCCCACCCCACUAAAGUAAAAGUAAAGUUGUCCCUGUAUUUAAUUAAGUUCUAUGCCAUGAACAUGCAUGGAAGAGACCAUUUGUGGAGAACAAUGUACAACACUGAGUAAGAGGAGAGAAUGCUAAUUUUGCAGUAAUUGAGGUAGUUCAUUAGAAAUGCAUUCACACAAAUCACUUCUAACCUGCUGGAAAACACAUGGUGGGAAUUUAGAUAUUAUUUUGAUACCUGCCAGUCAACAAGAGGUGCACCGAGUUCAUUGACAGAUGAUUUUAAAUAUAGAAUAGCCUCCUUGAAGUUUCUUUUAUUUCUUGAUAUCUCUGUCCCAAAUACCCAUAUUCAUAGACUUGGUUAAGGAAUAAGACUUAUGAGACAUUCAUAAUUUGUCAGUAACUUAGCGUUUUUAUGCUAAUGAUUAUCACCUGAAGUUGUAUCUCCCUAUAACAGAAUUACCAUAGCAUCUAUGUAACUAGCACCAUCUCUAAAAAAUUGCCAUGUAUUGUAAUUUUCUUCAUGAAAGUAAAAAUAUUUCUGAGAGAA